CCGAGCCGGCCACCACGUCCCUGCAUACUUCAUCAUCACCUGUGCCACCAGAAGCCACCACAGCUUUGGGGCACAACCUGAAGUCCCUCACAGUCACCUUCCCCAUCUCCACCCUCUGGUAUUCAUCAGACAGGAGCAAUGGCUCAGCCACGUUCCACUCCACUGAGAGGGUCCUGCAGAGCCUGGCCUGAAAAGGAUGGGGAAGCCAGCAGUGUGGACGCUGUCUGCACCCACCGCCCU